rnacentral:tRNA from 1 species
GGAGGAGUAGCGAAGUGGUCAAACGCGGUUGACUGUAAAUCAAUUCCCAACGGGUUCGGCAGUUCAAAUCUGUCCUCCUCCACCA